rnacentral:rRNA from 1 species
UUUAACAUGAGAGUUUGAUCCUGGCUCAGGAUGAACGCUGGCGGCGUGCCUAACACAUGCAAGUCGAACGGAAACAGGAUGAAACCUAGUGAUUCCUGUUUUAGUGGCGGACGGGUGAGUAACGCGUGGGUAACCUGCCUUGCACUGGGGGAUAACACUUAGAAAUAGGUGCUAAUACCGCAUAAGCGCACAGGACCGCAUGGUCUGGUGUGAAAAACUCCGGUGGU